GACGAACGCUGGCGGCGUGCCUAAUACAUGCAAGUUGAGCGCUGAAGGUUGGUACUUGUACCAACUGGAUGAGCAGCGAACGGGUGAGUAACGCGUGGGGAAUCUGCCUUUGAGCGGGGGACAACAUUUGGAAACGAAUGCUAAUACCGCAUAAAAACUUUAAACACAAGUUUUAAGUUUGAAAGAUGCAAUUGCAUCACUCAAAGAUGAUCCCGCGUUGUAUUAGCUAGUUGGUGAGGUAAAGGCUCACCAAGGCGAUGAUGCAUAGCCGACCUGAGAGGGUGAUCGGCCACAUUGGGACUGAGACACGGCCCAAACUCCUACGGGAGGCAGCAGUAGGGAAUCUUCGGCAAUGGACGAAAGUCUGACCGAGCAACGCCGCGUGAGUGAAGAAGGUUUUCGGAUCGUAAAACUCUGUUGGUAGAGAAGAACGUUGGUGAGAGUGGAAAGCUCAUCAAGUGACGGUAACUACCCAGAAAGGGACGGCUAACUACGUG
rnacentral:rRNA from 1 species